rnacentral:snoRNA from 1 species
AAACCAUGGUGUGGGCAUUGAGCUUGGUAGCCCUUGAAUCUCUCCCAGGCUUCAUUGAAGCCUUACAAGCCUUUCUGUUGAAACUGGAGAUCUCAUUUCUCAGCUU